UGACACAUGAGAGGAUUCCCAGUGACAGCC
rnacentral:piRNA from 1 species